UACGUAGGUCCCGAGCGUUGUCCGGAUUUAUUGGGUUUAAAGGGUGCGUAGGCGGACUGUCAAGUCAGCGGUAAAAUUGAGAGGCUCAACCUCUUCCCGCCGUUGAAACUGGUGGCCUUGAGUGGAUGAGAAGUACGGGGAAUGCGUGGUGUAGCGGUGAAAUGCAUAGAUAUCACGCAGAACUCCGAUUGCGAAGGCAGCGUACCGGCAUCCAACUGACGCUGAGGCACGAAAGCGUGGGGAGCAAACAGG
rnacentral:rRNA from 1 species